CUUUGUUCUGUGUACAUCUGUUUUGGUUACUUUAAAUCUUCUGUGAUUUCUGUAGAUGUAUUAAAUUUUUUUUAUCAUCGAGAUCAAUGGAAAUCUUCAUAGACAUACUCUCACAAUUGUCAAUCACGAUGGAAAAGGUUGAGAGGGUAUUUUUCUAAAGAUAGAAAGAAAAGAGGAGACGAAGCAAGAAGUGGUAGCAAGGGAGAGGUUCGAAAGCCUUGGCCACUAUAUAAAGUGAUAAAUUUUUU
rnacentral:misc_RNA from 1 species